rnacentral:miRNA from 1 species
UGAUGAUCUUGGAACACGUGC